ACUCAAAUGAAUAGACGGGGACCCGCACAACCGGUGGAGCGUGUGGUUCAAUUCGAGACAAAACGAAAAACCUCACCAGGGUUUGACAUAAUACCGUACAUUUUUCUAGAAAUAGAGAGAAAUCCGCAAGGAUGGUACUACAGGUGCUGCAUGGCUGUCGUCAGCUCGUGCCGUGAGGUGUUCCCUUAAGUGGGGAAACGAGCGCAACCCGCGUCUAAUGUUGAAUAUUCAUUAGAGACAGUCCCUAGAUUUUCUAGGGAAGGAAGGAGCGGCAGAUGUCAAGUCAGCACGGCCCUUAUACCCUGGGCUACACACACACUACAAUGGCGAAAAACAACGGGCAGCAAGCCGGCAACGGCAAGCAAAUCCCUGAAAUUUCGCCCCAGUUCAGAUUGGGGUCUGAAACUCGACCCCAUGAAGCCGGAAUCGGUAGUAAUCGCAAAUCAGCAUGUUGCGGUGAAUACGUUCUCGGGUCUUGUACACACCGCCCGU
rnacentral:rRNA from 1 species